rnacentral:rRNA from 1 species
GGAGUUUGGACCGUGUCUCAGUUCCAAUGUGGGGGACCUUCCUCUCAGAACCCCUACUGAUCGUCGGCUUGGUGGGCCGUUACCCCACCAACUACCUAAUCAGAAGCGUGCUCACCCAUAGUCCUUGCGUUUCAAAUCAAGAUCAUGCGGUCUCGAUUCACAUGGAGUGUUAAUUCAGCUUUCGCUGGGCUAUCCCCCGACUAUGGACAGAUUGCACACCUGUUACGCACCCGUGCGCCGGUCGCCACCAAAGAAAGCAAGCUUCCUUCGUGCUGCCCCUCGACUUGCAUGUGUUAGGCCUGUCGCUAGCGUUCAUC